rnacentral:rRNA from 1 species
GUUAAAAAGCUCGUAGUUGGAUUUCUGCGGGGGCGGGGCGGCCGGAUGCUUAUAGCAUCUCGAGCUAGCACUUCCCCCGCAUCCUGCCGCGAACCGUGCUACCAUUAGUUUGGUGGCGCCGGGGAUCGGCUCGUUUACUUUGAGAAAAAUAGAGUGUUCAAAGCAGGCCACACGCCUUGAAUAAGUUAGCAUGGAAUAAUGAUAAAGGACUUCGGUUCUAUUUUGUUGGUGUUCGGGACUGAAGUAAUGAUUGAUAGGGACAGUUGGGGCGGUCAGUAUUCCAAAGCGAGAGGUGAAAUUCUUAGACCUUCGGAAGACUAACAGCUGCGAAAGCGUUCCGCAAGGAUGUUCCCUUUGAUCAAGAACGAAAGGUUGGGGGAUCGAAGACGAUCAGAUACCGUCGUAGUCUCAACUAUAAACUAUACCAGCUAGGGAUCGGCCGACGUUGUACUUAUAUCGACUCGGUCGGCACCUUAUGAGAAAUCAAAGCAUCUGGGUUCCGAGGGGAGUAUGGUCGCAAUGCUGAAACU